rnacentral:rRNA from 1 species
GAUGAACGCUGGCGGCGUGCCUAAUACAUGCAAGUCGAGCGAACAGACGAGGAGCUUGCUCCUCUGACGUUAGCGGCGGACGGGUGAGUAACACGUGGAUAACCUACCUACAAGACUGGUAUAACUUCGGGAAAUCGGAGCUAAUACCGGAUAAUAUAUUGAACCGCAUGGUUCAAUAGUGAAAGACGGUUUUGCUGUCACUUAUAGAUGGCACCGCGCCGCAUUAGCUAGUUGGUUAGGUAACGGCCUACCAAGGCAACGAUGCGUAGCCGACCUGGGAGAUGGAUCGGCCAAACUAGAACUAAGACACGGUGCAGAGUGCUAGGAAUAAGAGCAGUAGGGAGUCGAACGCAAGAGAUGAGAGCCUGACGGAGCAGCGCCGCGUGACUGAUUAAGUUCAUCGGAUCGUAAAACUCUUUUAUUAGGGAAGCACAAAUGUGUUAGUAACUAUGCACGUCUUGACGGUACCGACUAAGAAAGCCACGGCUAACUACGUG